CUGACAUUAGAUACCCCUGUAGUCCCAGCCGUAAACUAUGCGCGUUAGGUGUACUGGUGACCACGAGUCACCGGGGUGCCGAAGGGAAACCGUGAAACGUGCCGCCUGGGAAGUACGGUCGCAAGGCUGAAACUUAAAGGAAUUGGCGGGGAGCACCACAACGGGUGGAGCCUGCGGUUUAAUUGGACUCAACGCCGGAAAUCUCACCGGAUAAGACAGACAUAUGAUAGUCGGGCUGAAGACUCUACUUGAUGAUCUG
rnacentral:rRNA from 1 species